UGGCAAGCCUCAGGAAGAAGGCUGGCAGUCAGAGUGGCCACUACAGCUCUCUGCAGCAGACCCUCUUCCCAGGCCAGACAGCUCAGCCUUUGCCAGUAUCCAGGACUCCACAUGCACAGACAGCCCCAGAGAGAUGGUAAAUGGCAAUAUUAACCAUCUGUUCCAGGAAGGAGGGGGAAACCAGGAUGUUGGGUGAAUUAAAACACUGAAUGAGGAGGAAAUCUACAAUUCCACCAGCAAGAUGAGAGGCCAGCAUAAGUGUCCAUGUGCCAUUCAAGCCAACUGUUUUAUCCACAAUUACAUUAAAUGACCCAGGGACUGGAAAAGGAGGAAUGGAACAUAAGGCACUGGAUGGAUGGUGGAGCCAAGAGAAGCCAGGGAUCAAGAAUGUUCUCCUCAGGUUCCCAGCUGUUGUGCUUGGAUGACCAGCCUCCCCACUUCACCAGAUACUCCAGCUUGCCCUUACAGAGCCGCUUGCUGAGGAUGCACUCAGCGAUGAAAACCUGCUCUCCCAUGCUACUCAGCUCCUCCACGUGUUGCCUGGUUCAGUUCCCUCCUGCUCUGACUUGGUUGUGGUGGAGACAGCAUUGUGACUGCACAAGGCGAGAGACCCCGAGAGAGAGAGAACGCUCUCCUCCUCACCCACUGCCGUCCUCCCUUCGCCAGGCACAAGCAUGAGCAUGCCCAUUCCCCGCAAUAAUUCAAGCACUGGAGAUGCUGAGCACAGUGAUCUAUCUCCAGAGAUGGAAAACCAUGAUUGUAAAUAACUUUACAUCUUGCAAAAGUACUAUGUGGUUAAUAACAUAAAACAUUUAGGGAAUGUUCUGCAUUUGCAGUUGUCACCCAAACAAGUUUAUGUACCUUUUGCCAUGCUAAAGGCAACCCUUUUCGCACAAUCAGGAAAAUGCCAGCCUUGCCAUUCUCUUGAAAAGUAUUGGAAAACGCUGAAUUACAGGCAAUAGCCCCUACACACAUAAAGGGAGAAGCCUUGGUUUGUUUGUUUUAAAACGUAAUGGAAAAUAAAGAAUUUUUUUAAGUCGGACAUACUUCGGGCUAAGCCAGAAUGUGCAGCCAUGAUUCAGGGAAAAACAGAGUCAUGUCUGUACUGGUCCCUAAUCGCCCGCAGGGACGUCAGGGUAAAUGCAGCUAAUAUGUGGACUGGCACACUCCAUUCCAGAGUAGAUUCAAACCAAAAGCCAUGUGUGUAAAGCCUCAUGUCCAAGGCUCUAAUUGACACAACAGGAAAACAUGUUUAAUGAGCCCCUGGUGGCGCAGUGGUAAAACUGCCGCCCUGUAACCAGAAGGUUACAAGUUCGAUCCUGACCAGGGGCUCAAGGUUGACUCAGCCUUCCAUCCUUCUGAGGUUGGUAAAAUGAGUACCCAGAAUGUUGGGGGACAAUAAAAUCAUUGUAAACCGCUUAGAGAGCUUCCAACUAUAGAGCGGUAUAUAAAUAUAAGUGCUAUUGCUAUUGCUAACCACAAAUGAUGUAUGUCGAUGGAUGUACUGACUUGCUUUUAACCUAUAUAAACUGGCAACUGCGUACCCUGAGUGUGCAAGCGCUUGUCAGACAUCUGACUUGUACUCUGCCUUCAUGAUCAUGAAAAAAAGCUAAUUUGAGCACACAUUCUCAUUGUGUUGACUUGUAAAAAGGGAAUUUCUCUGUCAGGCAACAGGUUCUAUUGCGGGAACCUUGUCUAAUCCUCUUUAGUUCGGUUAGACGCCCCAUUCUCUGACAAUUUGAUGGAAGGAUGAUUGCAAGGGGCUGAAUUAAGAGGCCAAGGUUCCAGAGGAUUUUCCCGCAACAUCACUGCCCUGAGCCAUUUUGGAAGGGUGGUAUAUAAAUCUAAAUCCAAUAAAUAAAUAAAUAAUAUCAGCAUAAAACAAAAUCAAAGCAGUAAAACUAGAUAACAAAACAUCAGGUUACCGUCUCCAGUUACCACCAGUACAUCUCGUGGCGGCUUGGAACCAGGCCUUCUCUGUAGCUGCUCUUGGGCUAUGGAAUGCACUCCUGACAGCAAUUUGUGGUUUGGGUUCAUCAUUGUUGGCCUUCAAGAGAACCCUUAAAACUUUUUAUUUGGUCUAGCCUUCCAAAGUUUUUAAAUUGUUCUUAAAUAUUUUUAACUGUUUUUAAAUGGUUUUAAACUGUAUUUAAAUAUGUUUAAUAUUGUUUUAAGCUGAUUGUUUAAAUGCUUGUUUUUUGUUUUGUUGUUGUGUACUGCCCAGAGCCUUUGGAUAGGGCAGUGUUAAAAUGUAAGAAACAAGCAAAUAAAUGUAGAGGGAGGUUUGACCCGUUGACUCCA